UACGGAGGGGGCGAGCGUUGUUCGGAAUCAUUGGGCGUAAAGGGUGCGUAGGUGGCGCGUUAAGUCCGUUGUGAAAUCCCUGGGCUCAACCCAGGAAUUGCUUCGGAUACUGGCGUGCUUGAGGCUAGUAGGGGUCACUGGAACUGACGGUGGAGCGGUGAAAUGCGUAGAUAUCGUCAGGAACGCCGAUGGUGAAGACAGGUGACUGGGCUAGUUCUGACACUGAGGCACGAAAGCGUGGGGAGCGAACGGG
rnacentral:rRNA from 1 species